rnacentral:hammerhead_ribozyme from 1 species
AUUCAACUGACGAGUCCCAAGUAGAACGAAAUGUGCAUGUUGGAU